ensembl:lncRNA
CAACACUCAGAGCUCCAUCACCGGCCUUUGCUUCAGGAGGAAUGGCUGCGGCCUUUCAGAACCUGCCAGCCUCCCUCCCAGCUCCUUACCGCCUGGAAUAUGGGUCACCGGGUCAGAUGUGUAAACAUCCCCCAUCCGCUGGGUGGGGCCCAGGGGAAGCAGAGGAGGAGGAGGAGGCGGGCCACUUUGAGGGAAUUAGGACAGGAAGUAAGGAAGCCUGGAGGCCAGUCCUUCUUUCUUUUCCAUUUCCUGCCAGAAAUGUGCAGAAAGUCCUUUUCUGUGCCCAACUCCCUGGUGGGAGGAAGGCGGGUCGUGGGGAUCGAGGGGCACCAGGGAGAAAUCAUCUCCAGCCCCUCCUCUUCCUGCCAAUUCACAAAUCCUAACCCACAGCCCAGCCCUGGGCUUAGGAAUGCAAUAAGAGCCCGAGUGCCUAGAGCCCAUCCUCUGCCACGAAGAACAACUCCCGAGAGCCACAACCAGAGGAAGCCUGUGCUCAAGAACGAAG